GUCGAUGGACAACUGCAAAAGAAAGUGAAAGUUGCAGCGUUAGCACAAAAAAAGUAAGCAUUUAAGAGACACAUAGUGCGGAAUUGUUGAAAACGACGAGACAGAUAUUCAAAGCGAUCAUUCUAUGGAAUACCAGCUCAAUGGACCGGAGAAUAUCGAUGGAUUUCGGCAAUUAAACGUGAUGGAUGGUGCCCAACGAAAAUACACACGCCUGUGUAGCGAUCGCUUCAUUUCAGGAUGAAGAACAAAAAGUACUCACAAACUCCAGGUCAUGAAAAAAGAUGGGGUUCAGAAAUGUCGACGAUGGAGGUCAUGUCAUCGUUAAUAACAAUCUUCAGCCCAUCCGUUAUUCAUGAGGAUCUCCCCGGCCUGUGAGAUGUUUGAGGCAGUCCCUCGAAAGGAUGGCAGGAGGCGUUUUGGACUCCACGUCGUCCUCAAAUGGCUGCGUUGCAAAAGCAUUUGAGUUAAAAUGGUUUUCUUUUUUUUUAUGAGCAGGGUGACUCCUUCUCGUCUCGAAGAGACUGCAACGUGUCCGUACCUGCUUCACCGUCCUGUUUCAAACAAGGACUGACUUGGCGCCGAUGAGCAAGACCCCCAAUGUGUUGAACAAAAACUGCAUCCAUCCGCCUUCUGUGUGACGUUACGACCAAAUCGCAACCUUUUCAUUAUUUGCUUUGUCCAAAAAGAAGACAUAAAGUAACCACGUUAAAUUUAUGAGUGUCCAACGAAAAGCACGCAUCAAAUAUGUAUUGAGGUUUUUCCUUUUGUUGGACAUUUUGAGAAAAGUCCACUUUUUAGAUGCUUUUUAUUGGACGGGGACACCAUCAUAUUCCUCAAUGGGAGACUGUAAGAAACUUUGAAAAAAAUAUUGUUACAUAUCUAAA